UACAGAGGUCUCGAGCGUUGUUCGGAUUCAUUGGGCGUAAAGGGCGCGUAGGCGGGCGGGGUAAGUCUGGUGUGAAAUCUCGGAGCUCAACUCCGAAAUUGCACUGGAUACUGCUCUGCUGAGAGGGCUGGAGAGGAGAUCGGAAUUCACGGUGUAGCAGUGAAAUGCGUAGAUAUCGUGAGGAAGACCAGUGGCGAAGGCGGAUCUCUGGACAGCUCCUGACGCUGAGGCGCGAAGGCUAGGGGAGCAAACGGG
rnacentral:rRNA from 1 species